UCUCCUGGAAAACGGGUGGUAAUGCCGGAUGCUCCAGUUGAUCGCAUGGUCUUCUGGGAAAGCUUUCGCGGUAUGGGAUGGGGUCGCGUCCUAUCAGCUUGACGGCGGGGUAACGGCCCACCGUGGCUUCGACGGGUAGCCGGCCUGAGAGGGCGACCGGCCACAUUGGGACUGAGAUACGGCCCAGACUCCUACGGGAGGCAGCAGUGGGGAAUAUUGCACAAUGGGCGCAAGCCUGAUGCAGCGACGCCGCGUGAGGGAUGGAGGCCUUCGGGUUGUAAACCUCUUUUAUCGGGGAGCAAGCGAGAGUGAGUUUACCCGUUGAAUAAGCACCGGCUAACUACGUGCCAGCAGCCGCGGUAAUACGUAGGGUGCAAGCGUUAUCCGGAAUUAUUGGGCGUAAAGGGCUCGUAGGCGGUUCGUCGCGUCCGGUGUGAAAGUCCAUCGCUUAACGGUGGAUCCGCGCCGGGUACGGGCGGGCUUGAGUGCGGUAGGGGAGACUGGAAUUCCCGGUGUAACGGUGGAAUGUGUAGAUAU
rnacentral:rRNA from 3 species